GGCCCCGCACAAGCGGUGGAGUAUGUGGUUUAAUUCGACGCAACGCGAAGAACCUUACCUGCCCUUGACAUCCUCGGAAGGGACCGGAAACGGACCCGUGCCUUCGGGAACCGAGAGACAGGUGCUGCAUGGCUGUCGUCAGCUCGUGUCGUGAGAUGUUGGGUUAAGUCCCGUAACGAGCGCAACCCCUAUCCUUAGUUGCCAGCACGUAAUGUGGGAACUCUAGGAGACUGCCGGUGACAAACCGGAGGAAGGUGGGACGACGUCAAGUCAUCAUGGCCCUUAUGGGCAGGGCUACACACGUGCUACAAUGGCCGGUACAAAGGGCAGCGAAGCCGCAAGGUGGAGCGAAUCUACACAAAACCGGUCGUAAGUCCGGAAUUGCAGUCUGCAACUCGACUGCAUGAAGCUGGAAUCGCUAGUAA
rnacentral:rRNA from 1 species